rfam:Dipodomys ordii contig_10872, whole genome shotgun sequence.
GGUGGCUCACUGGUAGAGUGCUUGCCUUGCAUGCAUGAGGCCCUGGGUUCGAUUCCUCAGUACCA